CCGUCAAUUCCUUUAAGUUUUAAUCUUGCGACCGUACUCCCCAGGCGGCACGCUUAACGCGUUAGCUCCGGCACGCAGGGGGUCGAUUCCCCGCACACCAAGCGUGCACCGUUUACUGCCAGGACUACAGGGGUAUCUAAUCCCUUUCGCUCCCCUGGCCUUCGUGCCUCAGCGUCAGUUAAUGUCCAGGAACCCGCCUUCGCCACGAGUGUUCCUCUCGAUAUCUACGCAUUUCACUGCUACACCGAGAAUUCCGGUUCCCCCUCCAUUACUCUAGUCUCGCAGUAUCAUGUGCCGUCCGCGGGUUGAGCCCGCGCCUUUCACACACGACUUACGAAACAGCCUACGCACGCUUUACGCCCAGUGAUUCCGAACAACGCUUGAGACCUCUGUAUUACCG
rnacentral:misc_RNA from 1 species